AUUGAACGCUGGCGGCAGGCCUAACACAUGCAAGUCGAACGAGUGGCGGACGGGUGAGUUAUGUCUGGGAAACUGCCUGAUGGAGGGGGAUCACUACUGGAAACGGUAGCUAAUACCGCAUACUAUCAGAUGUCCCCAGGUGGGAUUAGCUUGUGGGUGGGGUAACGGCUCACCAAGGCGACGAUCCCUAUCUGGUCUGAGAGGAUGACCAGCCACACUGGAAUUGAGACACGGUCCAGACUCCGACGGGAGGCAGCAGUGGGGAAUAUUGGACAAUGGGCGAAAGCCUGAUGCAGCCAUGCCGCGUGUAUGAAGAAGGCCUUCGGUUUGUAAAGUACUUUCAGCGGGGAGGCGUUACCCGCAGAAGAAGCACCGGCUAACUCCGUGCCAGCAGCCGCGGUAAUAC
rnacentral:rRNA from 1 species